GAUACACUCACCUCCUUCCUCCACCUCUCACCCACACAACUCUACCCAAGAUCUCACAGGAAGCUGUUAAGAGCCCAGGCUCAGGGAGUUAGCAGCAGCAGCAGCUGUCACAACGAGUCCUCGAGAGGGAACCCUUACCUGCUGCCUGCUGCCCUUGAAAUACACUGGAACUACACAGACUGCCCGGUCUGGACACUGUUAAAAAUGGGAACAGGGUCUCUGUGCUGGCUUGACACUCAACUUAAGCUAGAUCUGAGGAAUGGGAACCUCAACUGAGAAAAUGCCUCUAUCAGGUUGGCCUGUGGGGCAUUUUCUUGGCAGAUGACUGAUAGAGCCCAGCCCACUGGAGGUGGCACCAAGCCUUGUCAGGUGGUUGUGGGGUGUAAGGAAGUUGGUAUUGGGGUAUAUAAGAAGGCAAACCAAAUGAGCCAGGACUUACAAACAGAUAAGCAGUGGUUCUCAACGGUCUCUGCUUCUAUGUCUGCCUCUAGGAGACUCCUGCUUUGAGUUCCUGCCCUGACUCCCUUAUUGAGGGACUAGAUACUGUAAGGUGAAACAAACCCUAUCCUACCCAGGACGCUUUUGUUAAUGGUGUUUAUCACUGCAGUGGAAACCUGACUAAGGCAGUAUGCUACUCCUAAAACGUCAGGGCAGUGGCUUUCAACCCUAAAUUCACCUCAGAACCCCUGGGAUGCUUCCACCACUUCCAGUGCUGAAACAGAGUUGCAGACAGACAGACUCUGUCCUAGGCAGGGCUUAGGCGCCUGGGGUUUUAAAGUAUCACAGAUGGCUUCAAACACAGCCAAUCCUGGAAGCAAGUAAUCAACUUACCAGCUCUACCCAGCUGGCUGAGAUGGCUUAGUAAGUGUGAGCACCUCUGCCACCAAUGUGAGGCUCUGAGUGUGAUUCCAGAACCCACCCGGCAGAAAGAGAAUCGACCCCUCAGGUUAUCGUCUGACCUACACACGUGUGACCUCACACUCAUACCCACGCACACUGGAAAUUAAACAAGUAUUAAAAAAUUAAAUUUCUUUUUAUUAAAAAGAAGUCCUAGCCAGAGAGGACCCAUCUGUCACUAAGAAUGACCAGACCACCCCCUGUUCUAAUCUUUUUUUUUUUUUUUUCAAGACAGGAUUUCUCUGUAGCCCUGGCUGUCCUGGAACUCACUCUGUAGACCAGGCUGGCCUCAAACUCAGAAAUUCACCUGCCUCUGCCUCCCGAGUGCUGGGAUUAAAGGUGUGCGCCACCACGCCCGGCUCCCCUGUUCUAAUCUUAAGUACUGUAUGAGGAGCAUUCUUUUCAAGUCUAGACCUUAAAGUCCCUGACUUAUUACAGUGAGAAGAAAGACUAUGAGGCAAAUCAUUUAAUCAUUUAAAGGGAAAGAGAAACAAAAACCUUGACUCAACAUCAAAAAUUUCAAAACGGAAGUAUUAACUAUCUUUUAAGAUAUCUUUCAAAGAAAAUACCUUUAAAAUAGCAAGAAUCAUAAUGAUACACUAGAAGGUAAUGAGGUGGCCCUGUACAAUUAUGAGAAAAAUGUUUUGCCUCUAGAAUUCUUUGUACAAACUAAGUAGGACUUUAAGGGCACUGCAGACAAGUAGACAUCUUAAAUACUUUACCAUCUAUAUCCCAGACACAAAGAUCAUUUUUAAGUAGUAGCUCCAGAAAACUGAAGAGAU
rnacentral:lncRNA from 1 species